CGGGCGAGCCUGAUCCAGCAAUGCCGCGUGAGUGAAGAAGGCCUUCGGGUUGUAAAGCACUUUUGUCCGGGAAGAAAUCGUUGGGGCUAAUACCUGAGGACCAUGACGGUACCGGAACAAUAAGCCCCGGCUAACAACAUGCCAGCAGCCGCGGUAAUAA
rnacentral:rRNA from 1 species